AUUGAACGCUGGCGGCAUGCCUUACACAUGCAAGUCGAACGGCAGCACGGGAGCUUGCUCCUGGUGGCGAGUGGCGAACGGGUGAGUAAUACAUCGGAACGUACCCUGAAGUGGGGGAUAACGUAGCGAAAGUUACGCUAAUACCGCAUAUUCUGUGAGCAGGAAAGAGGGGGAUCGCAAGACCUCUUGCUUUAGGAGCGGCCGAUGUCGGAUUAGCUAGUUGGUGAGGUAAAGGCUCACCAAGGCGACGAUCCGUAGCGGGUCUGAGAGGAUGAUCCGCCACACUGGGACUGAGACACGGCCCAGACUCCUACGGGAGGCAGCAGUGGGGAAUUUUGGACAAUGGGCGCAAGCCUGAUCCAGCCAUGCCGCGUGAGUGGAGAA
rnacentral:rRNA from 1 species